AGCCCAAACCGUUAUUGUUUCGGCAUUAACGGGGUAGUAGGACUGCGACAUUGAUGAAAUAAAUGAAAUGGAACACCUUGGAAAAUGUGAUCACAGAGGGUGAUAAUCCCGUACAUGCAAGUUUAUGAAUCAUAGCAGACUCCUGAGUAAGUCGGGACACGUGUAAUCCUGACCGAAUCCGCCGGGACCAUCCGGCAAGGCUAAAUACUCCUGAGAGACCGAUAGUGAACCAGUACCGUGAGGGAAAGGUGAAAAGCACUUCGAACAGAAGAGUGAAAUAGUCCCUGAACCCAUACGCCUACAAGCUGUCGGAGCCGCUUCGUGCGGUGACGGCGUGCCUUUUGCAUAAUGAGCCUACGAGUUACUCAUCACCAGCGAGGUUAAGUACUUCAGGUACGUAAGCCGAAGCGAAAGCGAGUCUGAAUAGGGCGUCAAGUUGGUGGUGGUAGACGCGAAACCUUAGUGAUCUACCCAUGGGCAGGGUGAAGGUUUGGUAACACAAACUGGAGGCCCGAACCGGUAAACGUUGAAAAGUUUUCGGAUGACCUGUGGGUAGGGGUGAAAGGCCAAUCAAACUGGGAAAUAGCUCGUACUCUCCGAAAUGCAUUUAGGUGCAGCCUCUGUUGUUUUGUUCUAGAGGUAGAGCUACUGAUUGGAUGCGAGGGCUUCACCGCCUAUCAAAUCCGGCCAAACUCCGAAUGCUAGAACAUGAAGACAGGGAGUGAGCCAGCGGGUGCUAAGGUCCGUUGACGAAAGAGGGAGAACUCAGACCAUCAGCUAAGGUCCCCAAUUAUAUGCUAAGUUGGAAUUAAAACGGGGUGGGACUGCUUAGACAGCUAGGAUGUUGGCUUGGAAGCAGCCAUUCAUUUAAAGAGUGCGUAACAGCUCACUAGUCGAGCGGUCCUGCAUGGAUAAUACGCGGGCAUAAGCAUAUAACCGAAGCUAUGGGAUUGUAGAUGAUACAAUCGGUAGGAGAGCAUUCCAUUCAGCAUAGAAGCAGUACCGUGAGGUAUUGUGGAGCGGAUGGAAAAGCAAAUGUAGGCAUAAGUAACGAUAAUGCGGGUGAGAACCCCGCACGCCGAAAGAUCAAGGAUUCCCCGGCAAUGUCAAUCAUCCGGGGGUAAGUCGGAUCCUAAGGGUAAGCCGAGUGGCGAUCCCGAUGGCAAACAGGUUAAUAUUCCUGUACUGAUCAUAACUGCGAUGCAGCGACGCAGAGGUGACACUGCUGCGUACUGACGGAAUAGUACGUUGAAACCCGUAUUCUUUGAUACCGGUAGUGAAGCACGCCGGUAGAGAUGAAAGGUGAUAGUACCGCAAUGCUUCGGUUGCGCGGAUAAUGCAGGUAAGCUGACUGCCAAGAAAACCUGCUAAGCUUCAGGUAAUGAUCAUCCGUACUGUAAACGGACACACGUGAUCAGGUAGAAAAUACUAAGGCGCUCGAGAGAUUCAUGGUUAAGGAACUAGGCAAAAUGGUCCUGUAACUUCGGGAUAAAGGACGCUCUUGUGAAAGAGCCGCAGAUAAUAGGCCCAGGCGACUGUUUACCAAAAACACAUGGCUAUGCUAAUUCGCAAGAAGAUGUAUAUGGCCUGACACCUGCCCGGUGCCGGAAGGUUAAGAGGAGAGCUCAGAGGUAACUCGAAGGUUUGAAUUGAAGCCCCGGUAAACGGCGGCCGUAACUAUAACGGUCCUAAGGUAGCGAAAUUCCUUGUCGGGUAAGUUCCGACCUGCACGAAUGGUGUAACGAUCUGGGUACUGUCUCAACCAUGAGCUCGGUGAAAUUGUAGUUCCGGUGAAGAUGCCGGAUACCCGCAACGGGACGGAAAGACCCCGUGAACCUUUACUGCAGCUUUGCAUUGAUUUUGGGUAACAGAUGUGUAGGAUAGGUCGGAGGCUUUGAUGCUGCGUCGUCAGGCGUAGAGUAGCCGUCGUUGAAAUACGACCCUUUUGUUAUCUGAGGUCUAACCCGUUAGGGAGACAUUGCAUGGUGGGUAGUUUGACUGGGGUGGUCGCCUCCAAAAGUGUAACGGAGGCUUCUCAAGGUACCCUCAAGGCGUUUGGUAAUCGUCUGCAGAGUGCAAUGGCAUAAGGGUGCUUGACUGUGAGACCGACACGUCGAUCAGGUUGGAAACAAGAGCAUAGUGAUCCGGUGGUUCCGCAUGGAAGGGCCAUCG
rnacentral:rRNA from 1 species